GGCCCGUUAGCUCAGUUGGUUAGAGCGCCGUGGCUGAUAACGCGGAGGUCGUGGGUUCGAUUCCCAUGCGGGCCA